rnacentral:piRNA from 1 species
UGCAAGGUUUGGUGGUCUCGUCGUUAAUC